rnacentral:rRNA from 1 species
AUGCAAGUCGAACGGUAACAGGAAGCAGCUUGCUGCUUCGCCGACGAGUGGCGGACGGGUGAGUAAUGUCUGGGAAAUGCCUGAUGGAGGGGGAUAACUACUGGAAACGGUAGCUAAUACCGCAUAAUGUCGCAAGACCAAAGAGGGGGACCUUCGGGCCUCUUGCCAUCGGAUGUGCCCAGAUGGGAUUAGCUAGUAGGUGGGGUAACGGCUCACCUAGGCGACGAUCCCUAGCUGGUCUGAGAGGAUGACCAGCCACACUGGAACUGAGACACGGUCCAGACUCCUACGGGAGGCAGCAGUGGGGAAUAUUGCACAAUGGGCGCAAGCCUGAUGCAGCCAUGCCGCGUGUAUGAAGAAGGCCUUCGGGUUGUAAAGUACUUUCAGCGGGGAGGAAGGCGAUAAGGUUAAUAACCUUGUUGAUUGACGUUACCCGCAGAGGAAGCACCGGCUAACUCCGUGCCAGCAGCCGCGGU